rnacentral:rRNA from 1 species
GAUGAACGCUGGCGGCGUGCUUAACACAUGCAAGUCGAACGAAGCACUUUAUUUGAUUUCUUCGGAAUGAAGAUUUUGUGACUGAGUGGCGGACGGGUGAGUAACGCGUGGGUAACCUGCCUCAUACAGGGGGAUAACAGUUGGAAACGACUGCUAAUACCGCAUAAGCGCACAGGGUCGCAUGACCUGGUGUGAAAAACUCCGGUGGUAUGAGAUGGACCCGCGUCUGAUUAGCCAGUUGGUGGGGCAACGGCCUACCAAAGCGACGAUCAGUAGCCGACCUGAGAGGGUGACCGGCCACAUUGGGACUGAGACACGGCCCAAACUCCUACGGGAGGCAGCAGUGGGGAAUAUUGCACAAUGGGGGAAACCCUGAUGCAGCGACGCCGCGUGAGCGAAGAAGUAUUUCGGUAUGUAAAGCUCUAUCAGCAGGGAAGAAGAAAUGACGGUACCUGACUAAGAAGCACCGGCUAAAUACGUGCCAGCAGCCGCGGUAAUACGUAUGGUGCAAGCGUUAUCCGGAUUUACUGGGUGUAAAGGGAGCGCAGGCGGUACGGCAAGUCUGAUGUGAAAGCCCGGGGCUCAACCCCGGUACUGCAUUGGAAACUGUCGGACUAGAGUGUCGGAGGGGUAAGUGGAAUUCCUAGUGUAGCGGCGAAAUGCGUAGAUAUUAGGAGGAACACCAGUGGCGAAGGCGGCUUACUGGACGAUUACUGACGCUGAGGCUCGAAAGCGUGGGGAGCAAACAGGAUUAGAUACCCUGGUAGUCCACGCCGUAAACGACGAAUAAAGGGUGUCGGGGAGCACUGCUCUUGGGUGCCGCAGCAAACGCAAUAAGUAUUCCACCUGGGGAGUACGUUCGCAAGAAUGAAGCUCAAAGGAAUUGACGGGGACCCGCACAAGCGGUGGAGCAUGUGGUGUAAUUCGAAGCAACGCGAAGAACCUUACCAAGUCUUGACAUCCCGAUGACAGAACAUGUAAUGUGUUUUCUCUUCGGAGCAUCGGUGACAGGUGGUGCAUGGUUGUCGUCAGCUCGUGUCGUGAGAUGUUGGGUUAAGUCCCGCAACGAGCGCAACCCCUAUUCUUAGUAGCCAGCGGUUCGGCCGGGCACUCUAGGGAGACUGCCAGGGAUAACCUGGAGGAAGGUGGGGAUGACGUCAAAUCAUCAUGCCCCCUAUGACUUGGGCUACACACGUGCUACAAUGGCGUAAACAAAGGGAAGCGAGCCUGCGAGGGGGAGCAAAUCUCAAAAAUAACGUCUCAGUUCGGACUGCAGUCUGCAACUCGACUGCACGAAGCUGGAAUCGCUAGUAAUCGCGAAUCAGAAUGUCGCGGUGAAUAAAAGGCCGGGUCUUGCACU